UGGAAACUGGGGAACUUGAAUGCAGAAAAGGAGAGUGGAAUUCCAUGUGUAGCGGUGAAAUGCGUAGAUAUAUGGAGAAACACCAGUGGCGAAGGCGACUCUCUGGUCUGUUAUUGACACUGAGGCUCGAAAGCGUGGGGAGCAAACAGGAUUAGAUACCCUGGUAGUCCACGCCGUAAACGAUGAGUGCUAAGUGUUGGAGGGCUUCCACCCUUCAGUGCUGCAGUUAACGCAUUAAGCACUCCGCCUGGGGAGUACGGCCGCAAGGCUGAAACUCAAAGGAAUUGACGGGGGCCCGCACAAGCAGCGGAGCAUGUGGUUUAAUUCGAAGCAACGCGAAGAACCUUACCAGCUCUUGACAUCCUUUGAUGGGUCUAGAGAUAGAUCGUUCCCUUCGGGGACAAAGAGACAGGUGGUGCAUGGUUCGUCGUCAGCUCGUGUCAUGAGAUGUUGGGUUAAGUCGCGGAAACGAAGCGCAAC
rnacentral:rRNA from 1 species